rnacentral:rRNA from 1 species
UUAAGCGACUAAGCGUACACGGUGGAUGCCCUGGCAGUCAGAGGCGAUGAAGGACGUGCUAAUCUGCGAUAAGCGUCGGUAAGGUGAUAUGAACCGUUAUAACCGGCGAUUUCCGAAUGGGGAAACCCAGUGUGAUUCGUCACACUAUCAUUAACUGAAUCCAUAGGUUAAUGAGGCGAACCGGGGGAACUGAAACAUCUAAGUACCCCGAGGAAAAGAAAUCAACCGAGAUUCCCCCAGUAGCGGCGAGCGAACGGGGAGCAGCCCAGAGCCUGAAUCAGUGUGUGUGUUAGUGGAAGCGUCUGGAAAGGCGUGCGAUACAGGGUGACAGCCCCGUACACAAAAAUGCACAUACUGUGAGCUCGAUGAGUAGGGCGGGACACGUGGUAUCCUGUCUGAAUAUGGGGGGACCAUCCUCCAAGGCUAAAUACUCCUGACUGACCGAUAGUGAACCAGUACCGUGAGGGAAAGGCGAAAAGAACCCCGGCGAGGGGAGUGAAAAAGAACCUGAAACCGUGUACGUACAAGCAGUGGGAGCACAGAGCAAUCUGUGUGACUGCGUACCUUUUGUAUAAUGGGUCAGCGACUUAUAUUCUGUAGCAAGGUUAACCGAAUAGGGGAGCCGAAGGGAAACCGAGUCUUAACUGGGCGUUAAGUUGCAGGGUAUAGACCCGAAACCCGGUGAUCUAGCCAUGGGCAGGUUGAAGGUUGGGUAACACUAACUGGAGGACCGAACCGACUAAUGUUGAAAAAUUAGCGGAUGACUUGUGGCUGGGGGUGAAAGGCCAAUCAAACCGGGAGAUAGCUGGUUCUCCCCGAAAGCUAUUUAGGUAGCGCCUCGUGAAUUCAUCUCCGGGGGUAGAGCACUGUUUCGGCAAGGGGGUCAUCCCGACUUACCAACCCGAUGCAAACUGCGAAUACCGGAGAAUGUUAUCACGGGAGACACACGGCGGGUGCUAACGUCCGUCGUGAAGAGGGAAACAACCCAGACCGCCAGCUAAGGUCCCAAAGUCAUGGUUAAGUGGGAAACGAUGUGGGAAGGCCCAGACAGCCAGGAUGUUGGCUUAGAAGCAGCCAUCAUUUAAAGAAAGCGUAAUAGCUCACUGGUCGAGUCGGCCUGCGCGGAAGAUGUAACGGGGCUAAACCAUGCACCGAAGCUGCGGCAGCGACGCUUAUGCGUUGUUGGGUAGGGGAGCGUUCUGUAAGCCUGUGAAGGUGUACUGUGAGGUAUGCUGGAGGUAUCAGAAGUGCGAAUGCUGACAUAAGUAACGAUAAAGCGGGUGAAAAGCCCGCUCGCCGGAAGACCAAGGGUUCCUGUCCAACGUUAAUCGGGGCAGGGUGAGUCGACCCCUAAGGCGAGGCCGAAAGGCGUAGUCGAUGGGAAACAGGUUAAUAUUCCUGUACUUGGUGUUACUGCGAAGGGGGGACGGAGAAGGCUAUGUUGGCCGGGCGACGGUUGUCCCGGUUUAAGCGUGUAGGCUGGUUUUCCAGGCAAAUCCGGAAAACUAAGGCUGAGGCGUGAUGACGAGGCACUACGGUGCUGAAGCAACAAAUGCCCUGCUUCCAGGAAAAGCCUCUAAGCAUCAGGUAACAUCAAAUCGUACCCCAAACCGACACAGGUGGUCAGGUAGAGAAUACCAAGGCGCUUGAGAGAACUCGGGUGAAGGAACUAGGCAAAAUGGUGCCGUAACUUCGGGAGAAGGCACGCUGAUAUGUAGGUGAAGUCCCUCGCGGAUGGAGCUGAAAUCAGUCGAAGAUACCAGCUGGCUGCAACUGUUUAUUAAAAACACAGCACUGUGCAAACACGAAAGUGGACGUAUACGGUGUGACGCCUGCCCGGUGCCGGAAGGUUAAUUGAUGGGGUUAGCGCAAGCGAAGCUCUUGAUCGAAGCCCCGGUAAACGGCGGCCGUAACUAUAACGGUCCUAAGGUAGCGAAAUUCCUUGUCGGGUAAGUUCCGACCUGCACGAAUGGCGUAAUGAUGGCCAGGCUGUCUCCACCCGAGACUCAGUGAAAUUGAACUCGCUGUGAAGAUGCAGUGUACCCGCGGCAAGACGGAAAGACCCCGUGAACCUUUACUAUAGCUUGACACUGAACAUUGAGCCUUGAUGUGUAGGAUAGGUGGGAGGCUUUGAAGUGUGGACGCCAGUCUGCAUGGAGCCGACCUUGAAAUACCACCCUUUAAUGUUUGAUGUUCUAACGUGGACCCGUAAUCCGGGUUGCGGACAGUGUCUGGUGGGUAGUUUGACUGGGGCGGUCUCCUCCUAAAGAGUAACGGAGGAGCACGAAGGUUGGCUAAUCCUGGUCGGACAUCAGGAGGUUAGUGCAAUGGCAUAAGCCAGCUUGACUGCGAGCGUGACGGCGCGAGCAGGUGCGAAAGCAGGUCAUAGUGAUCCGGUGGUUCUGAAUGGAAGGGCCAUCGCUCAACGGAUAAAAGGUACUCCGGGGAUAACAGGCUGAUACCGCCCAAGAGUUCAUAUCGACGGCGGUGUUUGGCACCUCGAUGUCGGCUCAUCACAUCCUGGGGCUGAAGUAGGUCCCAAGGGUAUGGCUGUUCGCCAUUUAAAGUGGUACGCGAGCUGGGUUUAGAACGUCGUGAGACAGUUCGGUCCCUAUCUGCCGUGGGCGCUGGAGAAUUGAGGGGGGCUGCUCCUAGUACGAGAGGACCGGAGUGGACGCAUCACUGGUGUUCGGGUUGUCAUGCCAAUGGCACUGCCCGGUAGCUAAAUGCGGAAGAGAUAAGUGCUGAAAGCAUCUAAGCACGAAACUUGCCCCGAGAUGAGUUCUCCCUGACUCCUUGAGAGUCCUGAAGGAACGUUGAAGACGACGACGUUGAUAGGCCGGGUGUGUAAGCGCAGCGAUGCGUUGAGCUAACCGGUACUAAUGAACCGUGAGGCUUAACCUU